AUGGCCACAUCAUGUUGAAACACUGUUUCCCAUACAAUCACCAAAGUUAAGCAACAUCAAGCCUGGUCAGUAUUUAGAUGGCUGACCAUUUGUGAAUACCAAGUGCUGUAA